AACUUUGUGCAGUGGCAUUAUCAUAGCCACCCUAUUAGAUCCAACCGAGGCGUGAUUAUUGCUAGUUGAAAACUUUACCCAAUACCCCGCCAUGAUGACUUGCAAUAUAGUCAGCAUUGGCAAUUUUUGUUAGUCUCCCAGGAGA